rnacentral:lncRNA from 1 species
GAGGGGAAAGGCAUAGAGAAAAAGGGGAGAAGACACUCUUGCAAAAGAAGGGAGAAACAGAAGCAAUAGCUCCUUACAUUUCCUCAGAAAGGGAGAGUGAGAAAGCUUGAUUAUUUUCUAGGAAAUGGUAUGUAGAAAGGUUUGGCAGGAGGUGAGUUUAUGAGGGAAUUUGAAAGUAUUAAAGGGAAAAUUACUUCUCUGAAAAAGCAAGAAGAGUACAGAGACACAAGAGCCAAGGAGAAGAAAGUUUUGUUAUGAACAUGCUUGAAGUUUUGCCGACAUUCUGGACAUAUGUAAACAGAGUGCUCAAUGGAACAUCUGUCUGCUGCAGCCACUACUUCCUUCAUUGGACUGCAAGGUAUUUCUGUUUGGAAAAGUAAUGGAGUCCAGUCAACUUCAUUGAUCGCCAAGGACUGUCAAAAUUAUAAAACUUGCUGUGGAGCUCUGACAUGCCAGAAGCCGCUAGAAAAAGAAGUUUGACAUUCAGAAACUUAUCAAGAGGUUCUACUCUUUGGAUAGAGACCAAAAUCAUACUUUGAAAAAGCCUGACAGGUUUCUUCGGAAAAGUGGCCAUCCAUGGAAUGAAUGAAAUGUUCUCUUUCUAUUCCAGGGAUUGCAGUGGCAAAGCUAGGCUAGGUCUUGGAGGCUGGUGUAAGGCGAUGUGGGUGAAGGCAGGAGGCUGAUGGAAAGACUGGGGGGAAGAAAAGCCGAAAUGGAUUCACGGUGCCUUGGAUGAAGGACGAGAGGGGAACUGCAAGCUCCUUCAACUGGUUCUGUCCGGUGAGAAGUGAUCAAGCUUGGGCUGACAAGAGGCUCAGGGAGCCCUCACGUUCUUUCGCUUUUUUACCUGCCAAUCAAACUGCUACAAGACAACACCCUGAUCUGGCAUGGACAUAAUCAAGCUUUGGUCAUUCCGGAAGUCGUGUAGCAUGCUCCAAUUUGAAGUGACUGAGAUCUUUUGUGACUUACAGAGGAGAAGGAAAUGUUUUAAAAAUUGGCUUAUGCCAGUCUCCUUACUCUGAAAUUCUCAAUUUUCUUGUAUUACAGGAUAAAUAUAAAUAUCAUCUCACCAAAUUG